UACGUAGGGGGCUAGCGUUGUCCGGAAUCAUUGGGCGUAAAGCGCGCGUAGGCGGCCCGGUAAGUCCGCUGUGAAAGUCGGGGGCUCAACCCUCGGAUGCCGGUGGAUACUGUCGGGCUCGAGUACGGAAGAGGCGAGUGGAAUUCCUGGUGUAGCGGUGAAAUGCGCAGAUAUCAGGAGGAACACCGAUUGCGAAGGCAGCUCGCUGGGACGUUACUGACGCUGAGACGCGAAAGCGUGGGGAGCAAACAGG
rnacentral:rRNA from 1 species